rnacentral:rRNA from 1 species
CCUGCGGAGGGAUCAUUACAAGUGACCCCGGUCUAACCACCGGGAUGUUCAUAACCCUUUGUUGUCCGACUCUGUUGCCUCCGGGGCGACCCUGCCUUCGGGCGGGGGCUCCGGGUGGACACUUCAAACUCUUGCGUAACUUUGCAGUCUGAGUAAACUUAAUUAAUAAAUUAAAACUUUUAACAACGGAUCUCUUGGUUCUGGCAUCGAUGAAGAACGCAGCGAAAUGCGAUAAGUAAUGUGAAUUGCAGAAUUCAGUGAAUCAUCGAAUCUUUGAACGCACAUUGCGCCCCCUGGUAUUCCGGGGGGCAUGCCUGUUCGAGCGUCAUUUCACCACUCAAGCCUCGCUUGGUAUUGGGCAACGCGGUCCGCCGCGUGCCUCAAAUCGACCGGCUGGGUCUUCUGUCCCCUAAGCGUUGUGGAAACUAUUCGCUAAAGGGUGUUCGGGAGGCUACGCCGUAAAACAACCCCAUUUCUAAGGUUGACCUCGGAUCAGGUAGGGAUACCCGCUGAACUUAAGCAUAUCAAUAAG